ensembl:snRNA LOC120103372 U4 spliceosomal RNA
AGCUUUGCACAGUGGCAGUAUUGUAGCCAAUGAGGUUUAUCCGAGGCGCGAUUAUUGCUAAUAGAACACAUCAAUUAUAGUCCUUCAACAUGCUUACCUCACAUGAAAUAUUGGAGAAAGUAGGCUACAAGUAUUUUUCCACUUGAGACUUGAGUGG